rnacentral:misc_RNA from 1 species
GAUGAAGAACGCAGCGAAAUGCGAUAAGUAGUGUGAAUUGCAGAAUUCCGUGAAUCAUCGAAUCUUUGAACGCACAUUGCGCCUUCUGGUAUUCCGGAAGGCAUGCCUGUUCGAGAGUCAUUAACAACCGUUUCGAUCCCUUUCUUUCAGAAAUUACAAAGAGGAAAAGGGUUUGGUUAUGGUGGAGGAGGGAAAGGGAGCGUUUAGCCUGUAAAAAAAGAGGCUGUGUUCCGCCUCCCCCCCAAAAUUGUACAGGCGGUCGUGUGCGCCCACGCAUCGAGGUGUUGUAAAAGCUGCCACGGCACUUUUCACCUGUGCAGUGCGAGAUUGGACAGCCGGUUUAAAAACCCCUCCAAACAAUCAAAGGUUGACCUCGGAUCAGGUAGGGAUACCCGCUGAACUUAAGCAUAUCAAUAAGCGGAGGA